UACGAAGGGGGCUAGCGUUGUUCGGAAUUACUGGGCGUAAAGCGCGCGCAGGCGGUCCUUCAAGUCAGGGGUGAAAGCCCAGGGCUCAACCCUGGAAUGGCCCUUGAGACUAGAGGACUUGGGUACGGGAGAGGUGAGUGGAAUUCCAGGUGUAGCGGUGAAAUGCGCAGAUAUCAGGAAGAACACCCGUGGCGAAGGCGGCUCUCUGGGACGGUACUGACGCUGAGACGCGAAAGCGUGGGGAGCGAACAGG
rnacentral:rRNA from 1 species